rnacentral:rRNA from 1 species
AACGAACGCUGGCGGCAUGCCUAACACAUGCAAGUCGAACGAGACCUUCGGGUCUAGUGGCGCACGGGUGCGUCACGCGUGGGAACCUUCCCUUAGGUUCAGAAUAACUCCCCGUAAGGGGUGCUAAUACCGGAUAAUGUCUUCUAACCAAAGAUUUAUCGCCUUUGGAUGGGCCCGCGUUGGAUUAGCUUGUUGGUAGGGUAAAAGCCUACCAAGGCGUCGAUCCAUAGCUGGUCUGAGAGGAUGAUCAGCCACACUGGGACUGAGACACGGCCCAGACUCCUACGGGAGGCAGCAGUGGGGAAUAUUGGACAAUGGGCGAAAGCCUGAUCCAGCAAUGCCGCGUGAGUGAUGAAGGCCGUAGGGUUGUAAAGCUCGUUUACCCGGGAUGAUAAUGACAGUACCGGGAGAAUAAGCUCCGGCUAACUCCGUG